rnacentral:rRNA from 1 species
GCCUCUAACUGACGUCGAUGAACGAAAGCGUGGGUAGCAAACAGGAUUAGAUACCCUGGUAGUCCACGCCGUAAACGAUGAGUGCUAGGUGUCGGGAGUCAAAUCUCGGUGCCGUAGUUAACGCAAUAAGCACUCCGCCUGGGGAGUACGUGCGCAAGCAUGAAAACUCAAAGGAAUUGACGGGGACCCGCACAAGCAGCGGAGCAUGUGGUUUAAUUCGAAGCAACGCGAAGAACCUUACCAGGACUUGACAUACUAGUGCCAAAUGUAGAGAUACAUUAUUUCUUCGGAACACUAAUACAGGUGGUGCAUGGUUGUCGUCAGCUCGUGUCGUGAGAUGUUGGGUUAAGUCCCGCAACGAGCGCAACCCCUAUGUUUAUUUGCCAGCAUUUUGGAUGGGAACUAUAGACAGACUGCCGAUAAGAAAUCGGAGGAAGGUGGGGAUGACGUCAAAUCAUCAUGCCCUAUAUGUCCUGGGCUACACACGUGCUACAAUGGUCGUUACAGAGAGCAGCUACACAGCGAUGUCACGCGAAUCUCAAAAAGGCGAUCUCAGUUCGGAUUGUACUCUGCAACUCGAGUACAUGAAGUCG